UACGUAGGAGGCAAGCGUUGUCCGGAAUCACUGGGCGUAAAGCGCGUGUAGGCGGAUCGCUAAGUCUGUGGUGAAAGCGCUCGGCUAAACCGGGCGAGUGCCAUCCAGACUGCCAGUCUAGAGGCGGAUAGAGGGGUGCGGAAUUCCGGGUGUAGCGGUGAAAUGUGUAGAGAUCCGGAGGAACACCAGUGGUGCAAACGGCGCCCUGGGUCCGAACUGACGCUGAGGAGCGAAAGCGUGGGGAGCAAACAGG
rnacentral:rRNA from 1 species